rnacentral:rRNA from 1 species
UACGUAGGGUGCGAGCGUUAAUCGGAAUUACUGGGCGUAAAGCGUGCGCAGGCGGUUCGUUGUGUCGGUGGUGAAAGCCCCGGGCUUAACCUGGGAAUGGCCAUGGAAACUGGCGAACUGGAGUGUGGCAGAGGGGGGUGGAAUUCCGCGUGUAGCAGUGAAAUGCGUAGAGAUGCGGAGGAACACCGAUGGCGAAGGCAGCCCCCUGGGCUAGCACUGACGCUCAGGCACGAAAAGCGUGGGGAGCAAACAGGG